UACAGAGGUCCCAAGCGUUGUUCGGAUUCACUGGGCGUAAAGGGUGCGUAGGUGGUGAGGCAAGUUCGAUGUGAAAUCUCCGGGCUUAACCCGGAAAUGGCAUUGAAAACUGCUUCGCUUGAGGGUUGGAGGGGAGACUGGAAUUCUUGGUGUAGCAGUGAAAUGCGUAGAUAUCAAGAGGAACACCAGUGGCGAAGGCGAGUCUCUGGACAACACCUGACACUGAGGCACGAAAGCUAGGGGAGCAAACAGG
rnacentral:rRNA from 1 species